GACGAACGCUGGCGGCGUGCUUAACACAUGCAAGUCGAACGGAAAGGCCCUGCUUUUGUGGGGUGCUCGAGUGGCGAACGGGUGUGUAACACGUGAGUAACCUGCCCUUGACUUUGGGAUAACUUCAGGAAACUGGGGCUAAUACCGGAUAGGAGCUCCUGCUGCAUGGUGGGGGUUGGAAAGUUUCGGCGGUUGGGGAUGGACUCGCGGCUUAUCAGCUUGUUGGUGGGGUAGUGGCUUACCAAGGCUUUGACGGGUAGCCGGCCUGAGAGGGUGACCGGCCACAUUGGGACUGCGAUACGGCCCAGACGCCUACGGGAGGCAGCAGUGGGGAAUAUUGCACAAUGGGCGGAAGCCUGAUGCAGCAACGCCGCGUGCGGGAUGACGGCCUUCGGGUUGUAAACCGCUGUCGCCUGUGACGAAGCGUGAGUGACGGUAAUGGGUAAAGAAGCACCGGCUAACUACGUG
rnacentral:rRNA from 1 species